CACCCAGCGUGUCCCCUGGGUGCCACGCCACGUCCUAGGUGCUGGGGAUACAGUGGCAGACCAGACAAACAAGGACUCCCGGACGUUGCGUGGGGGCGGGGACACGGGCAGGAGGGUGAGAUAGGCAAUAAACAUGCCUAUUACAGAGCUUGGUAAACACCUCGCGGGAGGGUUGUGUGUUAAAGUUUAGUGCAAACAUCCAAGCAGGACACCCAAGGCCACAGUCCACCGUCAGAGGGCCAUUUCCCAGGACUCACUACUUGGUCUCCUCCCGAACAUGGCUCAGCGUUGGCGGCGUCUGUCUCAUCAGGGAGACUCACCACCUGCUCCCUUCCUCUGGCAGAGCUUUCCUGAGCCAGGGAAUUCCCUCCCAUAGACGACUGACAGCAGCUCCCGGCAUUCUGAUGCCACAUGCUCUGCCCACGGCAAUACGGUGAGAAUUGG
rnacentral:lncRNA from 1 species